AGUGAACGCUGGCGGUAGGCCUAACACAUGCAAGUCGAACGGCAGCACAGUAAGAGUUUGCUCUUACGGGUGGCGAGUGGCGGACGGGUGAGGAAUACAUAGGAAUCUACUUUUUCGUGGGGGAUAACGUAGGGAAACUUACGCUAAUAGCGCAUACGAUCUACGGGUGAAAUCAGGAGAUCUUCGGACCUUGCGCGUUUGAAUGAGCCGAUGUCGGAUUAGCUAGUUGGCGGGGUAAAGGCCCACCAAGGCGACGAUCCGUAGCUGGUCUGAGAGGAUGAUCAGCCACACUGGAACUGAGACACGGUCCAGACUCCUACGGGAGGCAGCAGUGGGGAAUAUUGGACAAUGGGCGCAAGCCUGAUCCAGCCAUACCGCGUGGGUGAAGAAGGCCUUCGGGUUGUAAAGCCCUUUUGUUGGGAAAGAAAAGCAGCAGGUUAAUACCCCGCUGUUCUGACGGUACCCAAAGAAUAAGCACCGGCUAACUUCGUG
rnacentral:rRNA from 1 species